rnacentral:rRNA from 1 species
AUGUUUUUUUGGUUAGAGAAAAGAUCACAGUGGACACAACUGCAGAAGCAGCGAUUCAAUGUUUUAUUCAGUUUAACCAUGACUAUUCUUUUCAUUCAGAUAUGCUAUGAACUAAAUUAUGUAUCUUCUUCGCCCUUGAAUUGGAUAAUUACCUUGGUUUCAUCUUUUGACUCAGAUAUGCGCAAGGAAUUGAAUAGGUGCUGGUUUUUUAUCAUAAUCUGUCCACCGACAAUGCAUACGAAAGUAGAUAUGAAGGACUAUUUUAUGCCAUUUGAUUGGAACACUAAACUAGGUUUUGUUGGUUCUUGA